rnacentral:rRNA from 1 species
GACAGAGGAAGCGAGCGUUAUGCGGAGUUAUUGGGCGUAAAGGGUACGUAGGCGGCUGGUCAAGUCUGGGGUUAAGGACCACAGCUUAACUGUGGGGGCGCCUUGGAAACUGACCGGCUGGAGUGGGGCAGGGGUUGCGGGAAUUCCCGGUGUAGCGGUGAAAUGCGUAGAUAUCGGGAAGAACACCUGAGGCGAAAGCGCGCAACUGGGCCCUAACUGACGCUGAGGUACGAAAGCUAGGGGAGCGAAUGGG